CGAAGGCAAAACAAAGUCGCCGACUAAGCUUGUAGACGCUCAUUGUCGAAUUCUUCGGACGCGGGUUCGAUUCCCGCCAUCUCCACAA
rnacentral:tmRNA from 1 species